AUGAGAACUACUAGUGGUGAAAUAGUGGAGACUCUACCAAGAUCCUUUCAGGUACAUAGUAAAAUAUGCAUGGAAUUGAUGAGAAUAUUGGAUGAUAUCAUGAGGAUAUUUCCAGAUAUAGAGGAUGCAAGACCAAAAUGUUCAUCAGGAAUAGAAUCUCUGGUUUAUCUGAACAACUCAAUUCAGAAAGCUAACUACUUCUACAACAUUUCUCUGAAUGUAGCAAACUCUACCUGGCAGUGA